rnacentral:lncRNA from 1 species
ACCCUUGUCUCAUUCCGAGAUUGUGUGCUGAGGGUUUUCAACUGCAUCUCUAAAGGGAAGGCCAAAGAAAGAGCAACAGGAAAGGAUGGUAAAAAGGGGGUAGAAAGGAAGAAGGAAGGGAAGAAAAAAGGGAAAACAGCAAGCUCUCUUUCCAGAGCCACACAUUUUUUUCUGUUUGCUCAGUGGCAGUCUGUUAAAGAAAUACUUCAUUGUCACUGAACACAGAGUCAUUAAAGGCACCUUGGAAAUUUGGACCCUUUUACUAGAAUCAGGGCUUAAAUAGCAACUUAAUUUAUGACACUUCUCGAGGCUGAUGGCGUUUUUGCUCUAAGACCUGCCUUGCAAGAAAUGUUAAAAGAAGUGCUUUAGAGAGCAGGGAAAUUCUAUAGGUCAGACACUUGGAUCUACAUAAAAAAAGGAAGAAACCAAAGGAGAAAUAAGUGAAGGGGCUUGAAGAAGAUAUCUAGAAAUGUCAAAGCAGAAGAGCCUCGGAGAUAAUCUGAACUAUUUCUGAGUUUAUAUAAGGGAAAACUGAGACUGGAGAGAACUAACAUGUCUAAUAUUACAAUGGAAACUUGUAAUAAAACCACAAAUUGAGUCAAG